CUUUUCUUGUUAGUUUCUGAAGUAUGGCCUGCCCGCUGACUUAUUUGUUGAAGGGCCGCGGUAUUUUGACCGUGCAAAGGUAGCAUAAUCAUUAGUUCUUUAAUUGUGAUCUGGAAUGAAUGGCUUGACGAGGCACGGGCUGUCUUAGUGAUGAAUGUUUUAUUGAAUUUGGUUUUUGAGUUAAAAUUCUUAAAUGUUUUUGUGGGACGAGAAGACCCUAUAGAGUUUUACAUUUGGUUUGUUUAUUUUUUGUUGUUUGUUUAUUUGUUGGUAAGCGGGCUUUUUGUUUUGUUGGGGUGAUGGGAGGAAUAUAGUUCAACUCCUCUUGGUUUUGGUUAUAUUGAUUUAUAGUUUAUUUGAUCC
rnacentral:rRNA from 1 species